CGAGUUCGACCACGGCCGAAUCGUGGCCGCCCUGGGGAAACAUGAGCUCGAAUCGGACCGAGUUCGUCAUGUUUCGGUCCCCGACGGGUUGGCCCCGGACGAAGACCGCAACAACCUGGGGAGGCUGGUUGAGGGUCUGCACAAGAGCAUGCCAGCAAGCCUGGAAGAAGUGAUAAGAAAGAACAACGAGAACUGUGGUGGUAAUAAGAUUACCUGCGUGAUAGUUGAUCAUAACAUGGCUUGGGCUCUUGAGAUUGCUGAGAAGCUCGGUGUCUGUUGCGUCGUGUUCUGGCCGAUGUGCGCAGCGAUUUUGGCCUUGAUAAUGAGCACUCCGAAGUUGAUA
rnacentral:lncRNA from 1 species